GGAGGGCAAGUUUGGUGCCAGCAGCCGCGGUAAUACCGACUCCAAGAGUGUGUAUGAGAGAUGCUGCAGUUAAAAAGUCCGUAGUCAUAGAAGGGCAAAGAGAGAUGCGAGGUCUCACAGUGCGAUGAUGGAGGAGCCGAUGGGGAACAUAGUAUACCAGGGCGAGAGAUGAAAUGCCAAGACCCCUGGUGGACUGAGCGAGGCGAAGGCGAUGUUCUUGUAGGCAUUCGGUGAUCAAGGACGAAGGCUGGAGUAUCGAAAGUGAUUAGAUACCGCAGUAGUUCCAGCAGUAAAAGAUGCCGACAUGCUCAUUGGACACAGUGGGCAGGGAGAAAUCUUAGAGUUCGGGCUCUGGGGAUAGUAUGCUCGCAAGGGUGAAAAUUAAAGAAAUUGACGGAGCUACACCACAAGGAGUGGAUUGUGCGGCUUAAUUUGACUCAACGCGAGGAAACUUACCAGGGCCAAGUAUUGUGUAGAAACGAGCAAUACAGGAGUGGUGCAUGGUCGUUGGAAAUUGAUGGGAUGACUUUGACCUUAAAUGGUUGAAUGAGUGAGAUCUUUUGGACAUGUUCCGCACGGAACAGGAAGGAAAAGGCUAUAACAGAUCCGAGAUGCCCUCAGAUGCCCUGGGCUGCACGCGCAAUACAAUAGCAGGUAGAGAGAGAGACAGGAAGGUGCUCAGAUGGACUAUGUGCUGUAAGGCACAUACGAAAGAGGAAUUCCUAGUAAGUGUGUAUCAACAAUGGAUAU
rnacentral:rRNA from 1 species